rnacentral:sRNA from 1 species
GACAAUUUGGAAUCCUGAGGAGUUCCAGCUACAGCGCAGUACUACACCUACCUGCCAACUUUUCCCAUGGGCCUUCAAUUAGUACAUUGGAAUAGGAGUUCAGAUGCUGGGGCAAGGGAAAGAGAGCUAAGAAGGAUCCUGCUGAGGUUUUCUCAAACAAUGAUGAAGGCCUUAUUAACAAAAAGUUACCCAAAGAACUUCUGUUAAGAAUGCUGUUCAGCUUGUUGUUAAAUUUUACUUGGUCUAAUCCAGAAUGUACUAAGUAUGUACAUAGCAUUGGUCUGGAUUCUUUUUGUAAUGUGAAUAUUUUCCUUCUUGGAUAUAGUAACUUUGUGCCGAUGUGCACAGAUUUCCAAGGCUUGGAACAUCUUAGCCCUGGAUGGAAGCAACUGGCAAAGAAUAGAUCUUUUUAACUUUCAAACAGAUGUAGAGGGUCGAGUGGUGGAAAAUAUCUCGAAGCGAUGCGGUGGAUUCCUGAGGAAGCUCAGCUUGCGAGGCUGCAUUGGUGUUGGGGAUUCCUCCUUGAAGACCUUUGCACAGAAUUGCCGAAACAUUGAACAUUUGAACCUCAAUGGAUGCACAAAAAUCACUGACAGCACGUGUUAUAGCCUUAGCAGAUUCUGUUCCAAGCUGAAACAUCUGGAUCUG